GUCACAAGACAAUCGCCUGGUGCCACAUGCGUGGCCGAACAGGGAAUGCGGUGAAACUCCGCGGCUGCCCCCGCAACUGUAAGCGGCGAGCGGGUCCGAUUUGCCACUGGGGUAUCCCCGGGAAGGCCGGUGCCCCGCCCCGACCCGCAAAGCCAGGAGACCUGCCAGUCGGAUCACCCACUU
rnacentral:ncRNA from 2 species